rnacentral:rRNA from 1 species
AGCGAGGCGAACCGGGAGAACUGAAACAUCUAAGUACCCCGAGGAAAAGAAAUCAACCGAGAUUCCCUCAGUAGCGGCGAGCGAACGGGGAUUAGCCCUUAAGCAUCUUGGAAGUUAGUGGAACGGUCCUGGAAAGGCCGGCGAUACAGGGUGAUAGCCCCGUACACGAAAACAACCUUGAUGUGAAAUCGAGUAGGGCGGGACACGUGACAUCCUGUCUGAAUAUGGGGGGACCAUCCUCCAAGGCUAAAUACUCCUGACUGACCGAUAGUGAACCAGUACCGUGAGGGAAAGGCGAAAAGAACCCCUGUGAGGGGAGUGAAAUAGAACCUGAAACCGUGUACGUACAAGCAGUGGGAGCCCUUCGGGGUGACUGCGUACCUUUUGUAUAAUGGGUCAGCGACUUACAUUUUGUAGCGAGGUUAACCGUAUAGGGGAGCCGUAGGGAAACCGAGUCUUAACUGGGCGUCUAGUUGCAAGGUGUAGACCCGAAACCGGGUGAUCUAGCCAUGGGCAGGUUGAAGGUUGAGUAACAUCAACUGGAGGACCGAACCCACUAACGUUGCAAAGUUAGGGGAUGACCUGUGGCUGGGGGUGAAAGGCCAAUCAAACUCGGAGAUAGCUGGUUCUCCCCGAAAGCUAUUUAGGUAGCGCCUCGGACGAAUACUACUGGGGGUAGAGCACUGUUUGGGCUAGGGGGUCAUCCCGACUUACCAACCCCAUGCAAACUCCGAAUACCAGUAAGUA